UACGAAGGGUGCAAGCGUUACUCGGAAUUACUGGGCGUAAAGCGUGCGUAGGUGGUUUGUUAAGUCUGAUGUGAAAGCCCUGGGCUCAACCUGGGAAUUGCAUUGGAUACUGGCAGGCUAGAGUGCGGUAGAGGAUGGCGGAAUUCCCGGUGUAGCAGUGAAAUGCGUAGAGAUCGGGAGGAACACCGAUGGCGAAGGCAGCUCGCUGGGACGGUACUGACGCUGAGGCGCGAAAGCGUGGGGAGCGAACAGG
rnacentral:rRNA from 1 species